GCCGUGAGGGCUCGGCCGCGCUCCGGGGCCGUCCCGCCGGCAUCUACAGCUGCGGGGCCACGGCGGCUCCCGGGCCCUCUCCCGAGACACCGCUGACGCCGGUAAGAGAGGUGCUGCCACCAUUUCUGAUGGGCUCAGCCCUGGCCAGCAUAGUUCCUGAAGCCAGCUGGAAUUGACUCCAUGGGACGUGGAGGAAGCCUCUGGCAAUUUCCCACAGCAAAUGGGGAAAUUUGCUGUGGGAAAUUCCCCUGUAGCCCCCUACUACCAAAACCUGGCCAUGCAAACCCAUUACCCCGUCUAUCCUCGAAAAUAAUUCAAAUGAAAUUAUAAAAGAAA